UUGAAUAAACCUAGUUGGGUUGUUGCUGGUUCUUCGGAAUAUGUGCACACCUGGCAAUGUUUUUAACCACCUGUGCACUUUUUGUAGAUCUGGAAUAUCUUUUGAGGAAACUCAGUUUGAGGAUUGCUGUGCGAAAGUCAGCUUUCCUUGCAUUUCAGAUUUAUGUUUUAUAUAUACCCCAAUAGAAUGUAAUAGAAUGUCAUUAAUAGGCCUUUGUGCCUUUAAAACAAAUA
rnacentral:misc_RNA from 1 species